UGAGAGGGUGUCCGGCCACACUGGGAUUGAGAUACGGCCCAGACUCCUUCGGGAGGCAGCAGUCGAGAAUCUUCCCCAAUGGGCGAAAGCCUGAGGGAGCGACGCCGCGUGAGGGAUGAAGGCCCUUUGGGUUGUAAACCUCUGUUAGGGGGAAAGAACAGCAGUGGGAGCAAUAUGUCCAUUGCCUGACGUUACCCCCAGAGAAAGCUCCGGCCAACUCCGUGCCAGCAGCCGCGGUAAUACGGGGGGAGCAAGCGUUGUCCGGAGUCAUUGGGCGUAAAGGGCGUGUAGGCGGUUUGGCAAGUCGAAUGUGAAAUCCCACGGCUCAACCGUGGAACUGCGUUCGAAACUGCCUUACUUGAGUGCGGGAGAGGUGUGCGGAAUUCCUGGUGUAGCGGUGGAAUGCGUAGAUAUCAGGAAGAACACCGGUGGCGAAGGCGGCACACUGGCCCAGCACUGACGCUGAGGCGCGAAAGCGUGGGGAGCGAACGGGAUUAGAUACCCCGGUAGUCCACGCUGUAAACUUUGGGCACUAGGUAUUGGAGGUCUCAGCCCCUUCAGUGCCGUAGCUAACGCG
rnacentral:rRNA from 1 species